AGUAAAUCUCUGCAUGACACUGCUGCCAUGUGGUUCAUUCACUCAGUAUACAGAUGUUUUCAAUCUGUACAGUUUGUCUUUCAUAUCCAUAUGAGAUGAAGCAGGCUUGAUUUGGGCUGGGAAUGAUGCCAAAGAGAGAAGACACAUCAUUAACCCUUAAUAAACGACUUACGAAGCAUCCCUGGUUUAUUCAUUAAAAGGACUCCGUGAAGGAUUACCAUAACACCCUAUGAGCGAUGUUUUCAAGCCUGGGAAGGCCAGGGAGCAGCUGAAGUCAGAACAAGCCUGCGAGGGAGGAGGCCGGGAAAGCACCGGCGCUGUGCAGCUGACAGCAGAGCUCCCUCCCUCCCGCUCCCACCGGCCAGCGCCACUUCUGGUGCCAACACUGAACCAUUUCAGCAUCCUCUGCCUUAAAUCCUCUUAAUGAAAGCAUGAAGAAUGACAAAAUACUUCCUUUCAUAAAGCAGAAGGCUGUGCCAAUUCACUUUCAACAUGCUCAUUCAGUGGAACUGAGGCACAAAAUUGUGAGAUUCGGUUUUACACAGAAUCACGUGCACGCUUCUUCACACGCUGAAUAAAUUCAACCACAUAAGUGUCACUCCCACCGAAGCCCUGCUUGAAGAGAUGAAGCAGUCAAGGUUCGGGUGAAGAGGCCCCAGCGCACACGGCUGCACGCGUCCCUGCGCGGUACCACAUCCAGCGCUCCUGCAGGGAACCUGGCAGCACCGCAACCCGCGCACAAAGCUGCUUUGAAACGCGAACAAACGCUAACGCAAAGCAUCUCCCCGACUCACCACAUCCAACCACAACCAACCGCAGCUGUCCCCGCGGAGGAAGCGCCUGGGAGGAGGCCGAGGUGUGCGGCCACCCGUCCAGCCCGCAACACCCGCCCCAAAGCUCCUCAAACAGCCCUUGCGCUGUGCACGCGUCUAACAGCCCGAUAUUUUAUACUUGUCCCCAAGGCAACUGAAAAAACAUGUUUCUACGGUUAUUUAAUGAUUUUAAUGACAGCGGCUGAAAGACACAUUAAAAAAUAACAUUUAAGGCAAGCAUUUUUUGCCAAAUGACACGGUUCCCAAAUUUGUUGUACCAUGGUGCUCCAUUUCUGUAAAAACUCUCAUUGAGGCUGUAGGUCCCAACAGAAGAAUGAAGCCUUGAAAAGAUACAACGACUACUUAAUAUUGUGUGGGAUUAUAGGCAGUGGCCUGUGGCAAUUCCUUAUGUCUCUGGGUAGUGACGCUUUUCCAGCAUCCCCUUUUUUUGUCAUCACACAACUCCAUUGUGAAAUAUUCUUGUCAUGAAGGAGGAAGAAAGAGCUGGUUACACCCCGUAGUGUUUUGGGGAAGACUAAGCAGCACAGUUUGCAGAGAGUAGGUGUGAAAUAUGACAUUUCAUUAUGUGUAAUUACUUUUUAACCAGUAAUGUCCACGUUGACAUGAGUUUCUUAUUUUUGGAAUGCGUGGGGAGUGGUCGGGGAAGGUAGUAAUGUUUUCUUCCCUCUUAAUAAACUCAAGUCAUUCUUAUGCUAAAGUAAUUUCUCAACAAAACAAAUUUCUCUCCAUCUCAGUAAUGGCACACCCAAAUGUGAUUACGUUACAAGAGAUAUUAAAUUCAAUUUCAAGGU
rnacentral:lncRNA from 1 species